UGGGUUAUAGCUCUGUGGUAGAGCAUGUGCUUAGCAUGAACAAGGUCCUGGAUUCAAUCCCCAGUACCUCUA
rnacentral:tRNA from 1 species